rnacentral:rRNA from 1 species
CCUACGGGAGGCAGCAGUGAGGAAUAUUGGUCAAUGGACGAGAGUCUGAACCAGCCAAGUAGCGUGAAGGAUGACUGCCCUAUGGGUUGUAAACUUCUUUUAUAAGGGAAUAAAACGAGGCACGUGUGCCUUUUUGCAUGUACUUUAUGAAUAAGGAUCGGCUAACUCCGUGCCAGCAGCCGCGGUAAUACGGAGGAUCCGAGCGUUAUCCGGAUUUAUUGGGUUUAAAGGGAGCGUAGAUGGGUUGUUAAGUCAGUUGUGAAAGUUUGCGGCUCAACCGUAAAAUUGCAAUUGAUACUGGUAGUCUUGAGUACAGUUGAGGUAAGCGGAAUUCGUGGUGUAGCGGUGAAAUGCUUAGAUAUCACGAAGAACCCCGAUUGCGAAGGCAGCUUACUAAACUGUGACUGACAUUGAUGCUCGAAAGUGUGGGUAUCAAACAGGAUUAGAUACCCCAGUAGUC